rnacentral:rRNA from 1 species
GAGGAAAAGAAAUCAACCGAGAUUCCCCCAGUAGCGGCGAGCGAACGGGGAGCAGCCCAGAGUCUGAAUCAGCAUGUGUGGUAGUGGAACGGUCUGGAAAGUCCGGCGAUACAGGGUGAUAGCCCCGUACACAAAAUCGCAUGUGUUGUGAACUCGAAGAGUAGGGCGGGACACGUGGUAUCCUGUCUGAAUAUGGGGGGACCAUCCUCCAAGGCUAAAUACUCCUGACUGACCGAUAGUGAACCAGUACCGUGAGGGAAAGGCGAAAAGAACCCCGGCGAGGGGAGUGAAAAAGAACCUGAAACCGUGUACGUACAAGCAGUGGGAGCCUCUUUAUGGGGUGACUGCGUACCUUUUGUAUAAUGGGUCAGCGACUUAUAUUCUGUAGCAAGGUUAACCGAAUAGGGGAGCCGAAGGGAAACCGAGUCUUAACUGGGCGUUAAGUUGCAGGGUAUAGACCCGAAACCCGGUGAUCUAGCCAUGGGCAGGUUGAAGGUUGGGUAACACUAACUGGAGGACCGAACCGACUAAUGUUGAAAAAUUAGCGGAUGACUUGUGGCUGGGGGUGAAAGGCCAAUCAAACCGGGAGAUAGCUGGUUCUCCCCGAAAGCUAUUUAGGUAGCGCCUCGUGAAUUCAUCUUCGGGGGUAGAGCACUGUUUCGGCUAGGGGGUCAUCCCGACUUACCAACCCGAUGCAAACUGCGAAUACCGAAGAAUGUUAUCACGGGAGACACACGGCGGGUGCUAACGUCCGUCGUGAAGAGGGAAACAACCCAGACCGCCAGCUAAGGUCCCAAAGUCAUGGUUAAGUGGGAAACGAUGUGGGAAGGCACAGACAGCCAGGAUGUUGGCUUAGAAGCAGCCAUCAUUUAAAGAAAGCGUAAUAGCUCACUGGUCGAGUCGGCCUGCGCGGAAGAUGUAACGGGGCUAAACCAUGCACCGAAGCUGCGGCAGCGACACUAUGUGUUGUUGGGUAGGGGAGCGUUCUGUAAGCCGUUGAAGGUGUGCUGUGAGGCAUGCUGGAGGUAUCAGAAGUGCGAAUGCUGACAUAAGUAACGAUAAUGCGGGUGAAAAACCCGCACGCCGGAAGACCAAGGGUUCCUGUCCAACGUUAAUCGGGGCAGGGUGAGUCGACCCCUAAGGCGAGGCCGAAAGGCGUAGUCGAUGGGAAACAGGUUAAUAUUCCUGUACUUGGUGUUACUGCGAAGGGGGGACGGAGAAGGCUAUGUUAGCCGGGCGACGGUUGUCCCGGUUUAAGCAUGUAGGCGGAGGUUCCAGGUAAAUCCGGUACCUUAUUAACGCUGAGGUGUGAUGACGAGGCACUACGGUGCUGAAGUAACAAAUGCCCUGCUUCCAGGAAAAGCCUCUAAGCAUCAGGUAACACGAAAUCGUACCCCAAACCGACACAGGUGGUCAGGUAGAGAAUACCAAGGCGCUUGAGAGAACUCGGGUGAAGGAACUAGGCAAAAUGGUGCCGUAACUUCGGGAGAAGGCACGCUGAUGGUAGGUGAAGCGACUUGCUCGNNNNNNNNNNCAGGUGGUCAGGUAGAGAAUACCAAGGCGCUUGAGAGAACUCGGGUGAAGGAACUAGGCAAAAUGGUGCCGUAACUUCGGGAGAAGGCACGCUGAUAUGUAGGUGAAGUGAUUUACUCAUGGAGCUGAAAUCAGUCGAAGAUACCAGCUGGCUGCAACUGUUUAUUAAAAACACAGCACUGUGCAAACACGAAAGUGGACGUAUACGGUGUGACGCCUGCCCGGUGCCGGAAGGUUAAUUGAUGGGGUUAUCCGUAAGGAGAAGCUCUUGAUCGAAGCCCCGGUAAACGGCGGCCGUAACUAUAACGGUCCUAAGGUAGCGAAAUUCCUUGUCGGGUAAGUUCCGACCUGCACGAAUGGCGUAAUGAUGGCCAGGCUGUCUCCACCCGAGACUCAGUGAAAUUGAACUCGCUGUGAAGAUGCAGUGUACCCGCGGCAAGACGGAAAGACCCCGUGAACCUUUACUAUAGCUUGACACUGAACACUGGUCCUUGAUGUGUAGGAUAGGUGGGAGGCUUUGAAGUGUGGACGCCAGUCUGCAUGGAGCCAUCCUUGAAAUACCACCCUUUAAUGGCUGGUGUUCUAACGUAGACCCGUAAUCCGGGUUGCGGACAGUGUCUGGUGGGUAGUUUGACUGGGGCGGUCUCCUCCUAAAGAGUAACGGAGGAGCACGAAGGUUAGCUAAUCCUGGUCGGACAUCAGGAGGUUAGUGCAAAGGCAUAAGCUAGCUUGACUGCGAGAGUGACGGCUCGAGCAGGUGCGAAAGCAGGUCUUAGUGAUCCGGUGGUUCUGAAUGGAAGGGCCAUCGCUCAACGGAUAAAAGGUACUCCGGGGAUAACAGGCUGAUACCGCCCAAGAGUUCAUAUCGACGGCGGUGUUUGGCACCUCGAUGUCGGCUCAUCACAUCCUGGGGCUGAAGUAGGUCCCAAGGGUAUGGCUGUUCGCCAUUUAAAGUGGUACGCGAGCUGGGUUUAGAACGUCGUGAGACAGUUCGGUCCCUAUCUGCCGUGGGCGCUGGAGAAUUGAGGGGGGCUGCUCCUAGUACGAGAGGACCGGAGUGGACGCAUCACUGGUGUUCGGGUUGUCAUGCCAAUGGCAUUGCCCGGUAGCUAAAUGCGGAAGAGAUAAGUGCUGAAAGCAUCUAAGCACGAAACUUGCCCCGAGAUGAGUUCUCCCUGA